AUUGAACGCUGGCGGCGUGCUUAACACAUGCAAGUCGUGCGGUAACAGGCGUAGCAAUACGUGCUGACGAGCGGCGAACGGGUGCGUAAUACAUGGGAAUCUGCCCUUUAGUGGGGAAUAACCCGGCGAAAGCCGGGCUAAUGCCGCAUAAGAUCUUCGGAUGAAAGCGGGGGAUCGUAAGACCUCGCGCUGAUGGAUGAGCCCAUGUCGGAUUAGCUAGNGGUGAGGUAACGGCUCACCAAGGCGACGAUCGGUAGCUGGUCUGAGAGGACGACCAGCCACACUGGGACUGAGACACGGCCCAGACUCCUACGGGAGGCAGCAGUGGGAAUCUUGCGCAAUGGGCGAAAGCCUGACGCAGCGAC
rnacentral:rRNA from 1 species